rnacentral:rRNA from 1 species
UACGUAGGGGGCGAUCGUUGUCCGGAAUCAUUGGGCGUAAAGAGCGUGUAGGCGGCUUGGCAAGUCUGACGUGAAAGCCCGCGGCUCAACCGCGGAUUGUCGUUGGAAACUGCCUCGCUAGAGUCCGGAAGAGGAGAGCGGAAUUCCUGGUGUAGCGGUGGAAUGCGCAGAUAUCAGGAAGAACACCCGUGGCGAAGGCGGCUCUCUGGGACGGUACUGGCGCUGAGACGCGAAAGCGUGGGGAGCGAACAGG